CAACCUGUGUAAGACGCACGGAAACAUUUCAACAUGCGAUUUAUUCUUUUGUUGUCGAUCAUCUUCUUUGCGAUGUACUUGACUGACGCUGAUGAUUCAUCUUGUGUUUGCUCAACAUUAUUUUCACCAGUUUGCGCCACUAACGGACGGACUUAUAGUAACAAUUGCAGCUUGGUUUGCGAUGGUGCCACUUUAAGUUAUAAUGGGCGAUGUAAUGAAAGAAAAUAAUGGAUUGCACCGAUCCAGAUUUUGCAACACGUACCAAGAACUCAUCAUCAUCAUCAUCAACUUACUAUCCGUCCCCACUGAGGGGCUCGAAGCUUAUCCUAGUUAGGGGUGACUAGGCCAUAGUCAACCACGCUGACCAAGUGCGGGUUGAUUUCACACAUAUCUUUGAAUUUCUUCUCAAAUAUGUGCAGCAUCACGAUGUUUUCCUUCACCGUAAGAACGUCGAAUAAAUGUACGUAUGUAAAUCGGAAAUCGAAAAACACAUUAGUACCUGGCGGGAUUCGAACCCAGGACCUGCAGAUUGCAAGUCAAGCGUCAAGCCAAGAACUCGUUUGGUCUAUAUAUCAUCAUAUAACCGUUGGUUCACUUUGGUACU